UCUCUGGAGAACUAGUGGUUAGGCCACAGUGCUCUCACAUCUGCAGCCUGGGUUCGAUUCGCGGCCAGGGAA
rnacentral:tRNA from 1 species